rnacentral:pre_miRNA from 1 species
AGUGUAAUUGCUGGGUUGUAUGGAAAGAGUAUGUUUAGUUUUGUAAGAAAUUGCCAAACUGUCUUCCAAAGUGUCUGUACCAUUUUGCAUUUCCACCAGCAAU